AGCAGUAGCCGCGGUAAUACGUAGGGUGCAAGCGUCAAUCGGAAUUACUGGGCGUAAAGCGUGCGCAGGCGGUUCGUUAAGACAGAUGUGAAAUCCCCGGGCUUAACCUGGGAACUGCAUUUGUGACUGGCGGGCUAGAGUAUGGCAGAGGGGGGUAGAAUUCCACGUGUAGCAGUGAAAUGCGUAGAGAUGUGGAGGAAUACCGAUGGCGAAGGCAGCCCCCUGGGCCAAUACUGACGCUCAUGCACGAAAGCGUGGGGAGCAAACAGGAUUAGAUACCCGCGUAGUCCCUGUCUCUUAUAC
rnacentral:rRNA from 1 species